rnacentral:rRNA from 1 species
AUUGAACGCUGGCGGCAGGCCUAACACAUGCAAGUCGAGCGGAGCGGGGGACGGGUGCGUGAUGCAUAGGCAUCUGCCUGGCAGUGGGGGAUAACGUGCGGAACCUGGCGCUAAUACCGAAUACUCUCAGAUGGGACUGGGUCGGAUUAGCUGGUUGGUGUGGUAAGGUCCUACCAAGGCGACGAUCCGUAACUGGGCUGAGGGGAUGAUCAGGCACACUGGAACUGAGCCACGGUCCAGACUCCUACGGGAGGAAGCAGAGGAGAAAAGUGGACAAUGGGAGGAAGCCUGAGCCAGCCAUGCCGCGUGUGUGAAAAAGGUCUGCGGAUUGGAAAGGUCUUUAAGUUGGAAGGCGUUACCAACAGAAUAAGCACCGGCUAACUCCGUGCCAGCAGCCGCGGUAAUUC